rnacentral:rRNA from 1 species
UCGAGCGGCAGCACGGGGAGCUUGCUCCCUGGUGGCGAGCGGCGGACGGGUGAGUAAUGCAUAGGAAUCUGCCCGGUAGUGGGGGAUAACGUGGGGAAACCCACGCUAAUACCGCAUACGUCCUACGGGAGAAAGCGGAGGAUCUUCGGACUUCGCGCUAUCGGAUGAGCCUAUGUCGGAUUAGCUAGUUGGUAAGGUAACGGCUUACCAAGGCGACGAUCCGUAGCUGGUCUGAGAGGAUGAUCAGCCACACUGGGACUGAGACACGGCCCAGACUCCUACGGGAGGCAGCAGUGGGGAAUAUUGGACAAUGGGCGAAAGCCUGAUCCAGCCAUGCCGCGUGUGUGAAGAAGGCUUUCGGGUUGUAAAGCACUUUCAGCGAGGAAGAAAGCCUCUGGAUUAAUACCCCAGAGGAAGGACAUCACUCGCAGAAGAAGCACCGGCUAACUCCGUGCCAGCAGCCGCGGUAAUACGGAGGGUGCGAGCGUUAAUCGGAAUUACUGGGCGUAAAGCGCGCGUAGGUGGCUUGGCACGCCGGUUGUGAAAGCCCCGGGCUCAACCUGGGAACGGCAUCCGGAACGGCCAGGCUAGAGUGCAGGAGAGGAAGGUAGAAUUCCCGGUGUAGCGGUGAAAUGCGUAGAGAUCGGGAGGAAUACCAGUGGCGAAGGCGGCCUUCUGGCCUGACACUGACACUGAGGUGCGAAAGCGUGGGUAGCAAACAGGAUUAGAUACCCUGGUAGUCCACGCCGUAAACGAUGUCGACUAGCCGUUGGGACCUUUAAGGACUU